UGCGCAGGCGGUUUUGUAAGCCAGAUGUGAAAUCCCCGGGCUUAACCUGGGAACUGCAUUUGGGACUGCAAGGCUUGAGUACGGCAGAGGGGGGUAGAAUUCCUGGUGUAGCAGUGAAAUGCGUAGAUAUCAGGAGGAAUACCGAUGGCGAAGGCAGCCCCCUGGGUCGAUACUGACGCUCAUGCACGAAAGCGUGGGAGCAAACA
rnacentral:rRNA from 1 species